GCUUGCACCUUAGCUUAGCGGCGGACGGGUGAGUAAUGCUUAGGAAUCUGCCUAUUAGUGGGGGACAACAUUCCGAAAGGGAUGCUAAUACCGCAUACGCCCUACGGGGGAAAGCAGGGGAUCUUCGGACCUUGCGCUAAUAGAUGAGCCUAAGUCGGAUUAGCUAGUUGGUGGGGUAAAGGCCUACCAAGGCGACGAUCUGUAGCGGGUCUGAGAGGAUGAUCCGCCACACUGGGACUGAGACACGGCCCAGACUCCUACGGGAGGCAGCAGUGGGGAAUAUUGGACAAUGGGGGGAACCCUGAUCCAGCCAUGCCGCGUGUGUGAAGAAGGCCUUUUGGUUGUAAAGCACUUUAAGCGAGGAGGAGGCGCUCUAGGAUAAUACCCUAGAUGCGUGGACGUUACUCGCAGAAUAAGCACCGGCUAACUCUGUGCCAGCAGCCGCGGUAAUACAGAGGGUGCGAGCGUUAAUCGGAUUUACUGGGCGUAAAGCGCGCGUAGGUGGCUAAUUAAGUCAAAUGUGAAAUCCCCGAGCUUAACUUGGGAAUUGCAUUCGAUACUGGUUAGCUAGAGUAUGGGAGAGGAUGGUAGAAUUCCAGGUGUAGCGGUGAAAUGCGUAGAGAUCUGGAGGAAUACCGAUGGCGAAGGCAGCCAUCUGGCCUAAUACUGACACUGAGGUGCGAAAGCAUGGGGAGCAAACAGGAUUAGAUACCCUGGUAGUCCAUGCCGUAAACGAUGUCUACUAGCCGUUGGGGCCUUUGAGGCUUUAGUGGCGCAGCUAACGCGAUAAGUAGACCGCCUGGGGAGUACGGUCGCAAGACUAAAACUCAAAUGAAUUGACGGGGGCCCGCACAAGCGGUGGAGCAUGUGGUUUAAUUCGAUGCAACGCGAAGAACCUUACCUGGCCUUGACAUACAGAGAACUUUCCAGAGAUGGAUUGGUGCCUUCGGGAACUCUGAUACAGGUGCUGCAUGGCUGUCGUCAGCUCGUGUCGUGAGAUGUUGGGUUAAGUCCCGCAACGAGCGCAACCCUUUUCCUUACUUGCCAGCAUUUCGGAUGGGAACUUUAAGGAUACUGCCAGUGACAAACUGGAGGAAGGCGGGGACGACGUCAAGUCAUCAUGGCCCUUACGGCCAGGGCUACCCACGUGCUACAAUGGUCGGUACA
rnacentral:rRNA from 1 species